AUUGAACGCUGGCGGCAGGCUUAACACAUGCAAGUCGAACGAGUGGCGGACGGGUGAGUAAUGCAUGGGAAUCUGGCUUAUGGAGGGGGAUAACGACGGGAAACUGUAGCUAAUACCGCGUACCAUAGGAUGAGCCCAAGUGGGAUUAGGUAGUUGGUGGGGUAAUGGCCUACCAAGCCGACGAUCUCUAGCUGUGCUGAGAGGAUGAUCAGCAACACUGGGAGUGAGACACGGCCCGGACUCCUACGGGAGGAAGCAGUGGGGAAUAUUGCGCAAUGGGGGCAACCUGACGCAGCCAUGCCGCGUGAAUGAAGAAGGCCUUCGGGUUGUAAAGUUCUUUCAGUGAGGAGGCGUUACUCACAGAAGAAGCACCGGCUAACUCCGUGCCAGCAGCCGCGGUAAUAC
rnacentral:rRNA from 1 species